rnacentral:rRNA from 1 species
GAUGAACGCUAGCUACAGGCUUAACACAUGCAAGUCGCGGGGCAGCAUGGGGGUUGCUUGCAAUCCCCGAUGGCGACCGGCGCACGGGUGAGUAACGCGUAUCCAACCUGCCCUUCACCACGGGAUAACCCGGCGAAAGUCGGACUAAUACCGUAUGUUGUCCAUUGACGGCAUCCGAUUUGGACGAAAGGUUUGGCGGUGAAGGAUGGGGAUGCGUCCGAUUAGCUGGACGGCGGGGUGACGGCCCACCGUGGCGACGAUCGGUAGGGGUUCUGAGAGGAAGGUCCCCCACACUGGAACUGAGACACGGUCCAGACUCCUACGGGAGGCAGCAGUGAGGAAUAUUGAUCAAUGGGCGUAAGCCUGAACCAGCCAAGUAGCGUGCAGGAUGACGGCCCUAUGGGUUGUAAACUGCUUUUAUGCAGGGAUAAAGUGGCCCACGUGUGGGUUUUUGCAGGUACCGCAUGAAUAAGGACCGGCUAAUUCCGUG